GUGCACUCUCUUUUCUACCAUUCUCCUUCCAGUGUACUGUUUUAUCAUCAAUAACAUGAACAUCAUAAACUGUUGAUUCUGUGUCAAGUAUGGAACCAUGCAUGUUGCAUCCAGCUUGAUUCCAAUGUUCCCCAUUUUUCUCUGGCUCCUCUCCAGUGCUGCCACUAAUUUGGGGUGCCUUCAUUCCUGGUGAUAUCAUGUCAAUAUCCCUUUUUGUUUUUUCUGUCCCUGCUACACUUGGAGUUUUCUGCACCAAUCCUUGUGAAGUGGAAAAGUCAGAAGCUAACUCGUUGUGCUUUGGCAUCAUUUCUUUCCCCAAGGCAGGUGUGCGUACAUGUUCAUGAUUUGAAGACCAUCUUGCAUUAGUUGCCACUUCAUUUUCACUAAUGGAUUCACUAUUCUCAAUCUUCUGUGGCACUGGAAGGGGAUUCUCUUUUGAAUCAAUGGAAAGCGAAAUUGUCUGUUCUUUUUUAUUUAUUUUAUAGCUUGAAUCACCUUCCACCAGAUCAUUUCCCACAAAGUUCAUCUGCUCAUAAGCUUCAACUUCCUUCUCAAGAAAAUGAAUCUCCCUCUCCUUCCUGACAAGGAUCUCUUU
rnacentral:misc_RNA from 1 species